rnacentral:rRNA from 1 species
ACUAAACAGCUAGCCCCACCCCAUAAAAUCAAACCAUCAUCAUAAAUAAACCCUAAAAAACAAUAAACUAAACCCAAUUAAAUCAUUUUUCCACCUAAGUACGGGAGACGGAAAAGGACCCAAAGAGCUAUAGAACAAGUACCGCAAGGGAACGCUGAAAGAGAAAUGAAACAACCCAGUAAAGUAAAAAGAAGCAGAGACUAAAUCUCGUACCUUUUGCAUCAUGAUUUAGCCAGUAAUCCCAAGCAAAGAGCACUUUAGUUUGAUACCCCGAAACUAAGUGAGCUACUCCAAGACAGCCUAUUUUAGGGCCAACCCGUCUCUGUGGCAAAAGAGUGGGAAGAGCUUCGAGUAGAGGUGAUAAACCUACCGAACUUAGUUAUAGCUGGUUGCCUAGAAAUUGAAUUUAAGUUCAGCCUCUCGCCUUCUUCACUCACAUAGUUAAUAAUGCCCUCUGUCACCAAAGAAGACGAAAGAGUUAGUCCAAUGGGGUACAGCCCAUUUGACCUAAGACACAACUUUUAGUGCAGGCUAAAGAUCAAACUACCAAAGGGAAUAUGUCUUAGUGGGCCUAAAAGCAGCCACCUAAGCAGAAAGCGUUAAAGCUCAGACAUACCACAAGCCCCCAAUAAUCCUGAUAAGACACUCUUAAGCCCCACCACAUUACAAGGCUGUUUCAUGCAAACAUGAAAGCACCAAUGCUAAUAUGAGUAAUAAGAGAGCCCCACCCUCUCUCCAAGCACGCACAUAUAUCGGAACGGACUCCCCACCGAAAAUUACCGGCCCCAAACAAAGAGGGUAAUGUACAAUUAACAAAAAACUAGAAACCCAUACAAAAUAGACCGUUAAGCCCACACUGGCGUGCCACUAAGGAAAGACUAAAAGAAAAAGAAGGAACUCGGCAAACACCCAAGGCCUCGCCUGUUUACCAAAAACAUCGCCUCUUGUCUACUAAAAAUAAGAGGUCCUGCCUGCCCAGUGACAUUAAGUUCAACGGCCGCGGUAUUUUGACCGUGCAAAGGUAGCGCAAUCACUUGUCUUUUAAAUGAAGACCCGUAUGAAUGGCACGACGAGGGCCAAACUGUCUCCUUUUUCAGGUCAAUGAAAUUGAUCCCCCCGUGCAGAAGCGGGGAUUAUUACAUAAGACGAGAAGACCCUAUGGAGCUUUAGACACCAGAGCAGCCCUUGUUAAACCACCCUAGACAAAGGAAAAAACCAAACGGGCCCUGCCCUCAUGUCUUUGGUUGGGGCGACCGCGGGGAACACAAAACCCCCAUGUGGAAUGGGAGAACACCUCCUAAAACCAAGAGCUACAGCUCUAAGCAAUAGAAUAUCUAACCAAAAGAUCCGGCAAAGCCGAUCAACGAACCGAGUUACCCUAGGGAUAACAGCGCAAUCCCCUUUUAGAGUCCAUAUCGACAAGGGGGUUUACGACCUCGAUGUUGGAUCAGGACAUCCUAAUGGUGCAGCCGCUAUUAAGGGUUCGUUUGUUCAACGAUUAAAGUCCUACGUGAUCUGAGUUCAGACCGGAGUAAUCCAGGUCAGUUUCUAUCUAUGACAUGUUUUUUUCUAGUACGAAAGGACCGAAAAAAAGAGGCCCAUGCUAUAAGUACGCCUCCCCUUUACCUAGUGAAAACAACUAAAUUAGAUAAAAAGGUAUGCUUCCUCCCGCCGAAUAUAACGGCUU